rnacentral:rRNA from 1 species
CCGUGCCAGCAGCCGCGGUAAUACGGAGGAUGCGAGCGUUAUCCGGAUUUAUUGGGUUUAAAGGGAGCGCAGACGGGUCGUUAAGUCAGCUGUGAAAGUUUGGGGCUCAACCUUAAAAUUGCAGUUGAUACUGGCGUCCUUGAGUGCGGUUGAGGUGUGCGGAAUUCGUGGUGUAGCGGUGAAAUGCUUAGAUAUCACGAAGAACUCCGAU